rnacentral:rRNA from 1 species
UACGUAGGGUGCGAGCGUUAAUCGGAAUUACUGGGCGUAAAGCGUGCGCAGGCGGUUUGUUAAGUCGGAUGUGAAAUCCCUCGGCUCAACUGAGGAAGUGCAUCCGAAACUGGCAGGCUUGAGUACUAAAGAGGGUCGCGGAAUUCCCGGUGUAGAGGUGAAAUUCGUAGAUAUCGGGAGGAACACCGGUGGCGAAGGCGGCGACCUGGGUAGAUACUGACGCUGAGGUGCGAAAGCGUGGGGAGCAAACAGG